AGUUGCUGAGUACCCACUGAGGCCCACCUGGCUCCCUCAAGGGAAGACUGCCACCAUCGUGAUCCAGUCAGGACCAUUGAAGGUGGAAGCCACCAUCACUCCUACCAGCCAGUGAGAAGUGUCCAUAGCCACUAGCCUGCGACAUUCACAUCAGAGAACGAAAACAGCCUUCAGAAGGCCCUGGAGGGCUCAGGACACCACCCUUGGCUAUGACCAGC